CUGCAAUGCACAAUGGUUGUGCCUGUGAAUAGCCACUGCACUCCAGUCUGGGCAACAAAGCAAGACCUUGUCUCUUAAAAAAAAAAUUAAAUCUAUCCUGAAUCUUAUUUUCCUAACUCUGGAGGGAUGUACCUUGAGACUUUCUGGGUAAAUUCCGUGCUUUUCUAACCAAGGAUAAGUCUCCCUUCAUAGCAAAAAAAUUAUUACCCUGAUGUGAAUCAAACUAAUCCACAUAGUCUUCGUCAUGCUCAAUGAAAAUGUACUAAGUUCUCCCUCUGUGCUAGUAACAGUGAUUCCAAAUUUAUCAAGCCCGAAUGCCACAUCCAGUGCCAGGAUUCCAUCAUCACCAUCCUUGGCAGAUGGCUAUCCAGUGUCUUCUAAACAAUUUCAGUCAAGAGGUGCUUCCUCCCACAUACCUUUUUCUUAGAGUCUC
rnacentral:lncRNA from 10 species